CAGGUCACUUACACUGAGCUCCAGGCUCAGUCCUUCUUCCCUUUCUUCUCUGCUGCCAAUCUCCCCCUCGAUGACCUCAUCAGUUCUCAAGGCUUUAACUAUCAUUUAAAUGGCAAUACUUCCUAGAUAUCAUUCUCUCGUCUAAAUAUUUCCACAUUCAUCUGUUCCUCUGCCAACUGGCCCCCUCACCUGCAUUUCUAGUGCUCCUCACAGCACAGCUUCUCCUACACAGACAGCCUGCCCUGCAUUCAGGUAUCCACACCUGUGCCCCUGCGGAGUUCUCCCCGUAUCUGUGAAGAGCAGCUCAUCAUUCUUUCACAGACCAAACUCACUUGUGUCUUCUCGACUCCUCUUUGUCAUACCUCAGAUUAUUCCAUCCGGAAAUGCUGUCAUAUCCACCUUCAAUGUUCUGUAGAAACCAGUCGCUUUCACAACCCAAGUAAAGUUAUGGACAUGUCUGUUCUGGAGGACUCACUAGUUUCUACACUUUCCCACCUCCUCACCUGCCCCUGUCCUCUCCAUACUGUUCUCAGCAGAGCAGCCAGAGUGAGCUCUUGAAAGAAGUUUCCCACUGUCUGUCUUUGCCCCAUGCUGCCUCACUCGCAGUAGGAGUCCUUCCAACACCUCAGGUCCACAGGUUCUGUACUCAUAACUUCCUCUUAGUGACUCUGCUCCAGUCACACAAGCCUCCUUGUUCUUCCAGAAUACAUAGACACAAGUUUGCCCUAGAGCUUUACCACUGAUAUUUCUCCCUGCCUGGAAAACAAUUCCCAGAAUCUUCA
rnacentral:lncRNA from 1 species